GGGCCGGUAGUUCAGUUGGGAGAAUGCCUCGUUCGCAACGAGGAGGUCGGCGGUUCGAUUCCGCUUCGGUCCA
rnacentral:tRNA from 1 species